AGGGGUGUCACGGGGAAUGACUAUAUAGGUCUUGUAGAGGAGAAACAGGCGCUUCUUUUGCGCUAGGUAUCGAAGGGCGCUAUGUUCAAAAAUCUGAAACUAGAGCUCAAAAUUUGAAAAAAAUGUCAAAAAAUUAGGGGGGUCGGCCUAUUCUAGGACUUCUAGAGAAAAAUAAUGAGGGGUGUCACGGGGAAUGACUAUAUAGGUCUUGUAGAGGGGAAACAGGCGCUUCUUUUGCGCUAGGUAUCGAAGGGCGCUAUGUUCAAAAAUCUGAAA
rnacentral:lncRNA from 1 species